rnacentral:rRNA from 1 species
UACGUAGGUGGCAAGCGUUGUCCGGAAUUAUUGGGCGUAAAGCGCGCGCAGGCGGCUUCUUAAGUCUGAUGUGAAAGCCCCCGGCUUAACCGGGGAGAGUCGUUGGGGACGGCGGAGCUUGAGGGCGGGAGAGGUCGGUGGAAUUCCCGGUGUAGUGGUGAAAUGCGUAGAGAUCGGGAGGAACACCUGUGGCGAAGGCGGCCGACUGGGCCGACCCUGACGCUGAGGCGCGAAGGCGUGGGGAGCGAACGGG